rnacentral:rRNA from 1 species
UACGUAGGGUGCGAGCGUUACUCGGAAUUACUGGGCGUAAAGCGUGCGUAGGUGGUUUCUUAAGUCUGCUGUGAAAGCCCCGGGCUCAACCUGGGAAUUGCAGUGAAUACUGGGGAGCUAGAGUGCGGUAGAGGGUAGUGGAAUUCCCGGUGUAGCGGUGAAAUGCGUAGAGAUCGGGAGGAACACCAGUGGCGAAGGCGGCUACCUGGACCAGCACUGACACUGAGGCACGAAAGCGUGGGGAGCAAACAGG